AUAUUUUUCACUUUAUCCUUUUUUUUCAUUUUUUACGUUUUUUAUUUAAAGUCAUAUAUAAGAUUAUUCCUGCAUCUUCUCAAUUGUUUCUUCCUUCUAUUUGCCCUUUUCCUUUCCUACUUUGCAAGAUUUGGCUUUAUGUUCAAGGAACAUUUUGUGGUCUUUGUCCAGUUUUAGUCUAGUGAUAACCACCUUGCCAGGAUGAACGCCCACGCGGGCAGUUGUGCCAACUGCCGUCUCUCCUGUGCUUGUUCAAUGUAGAAGAUGUAUUUUUUUCCUAUAAACCCGGGGUACUCUACCAGUUUGCUGAUUUGUAGUGUCCUCAUACAACCUAUACUUCAUCUUCCUUUUGGAUAGGCAUAGAUCCAACAUUGUACUUCUAUCUCAGCUAUUCAGAAAGAGAGGAAGACAAUCUUCCUGUGAUAUUGGGAAGACUUAAAUAUCUUUUACAGUUCGUGCUGUCAGAAGUGACAAAGGGAUUAAACAUCAUUUUGGCCACUGGUUCUUCAGCGAUGGCUGCAAAAGGCCAACAUUGAUUUCAGCCCAGCCACUUUUCAAAUCUCACCUUAAAACAGGCCUUUUCAGGAACACUGACAACUGCAUGCCCUGUGGAGAUGAGGUUGGACCAUGUUCUGAAGGCAGAGAGAUGUCAUUCAAGAGUUCUAAGAAAAUGGUAAUGAUCAGAAUGUGUUUGUAUUUAUUUAUUUAUUUAUUUAUUUAUUUAUUUAUUUAUUUAUUUGAGACACAGAGAGAGAAAAUGAGAGAGAGAGGCAGAGACACAGGUAGAGGGAGAAGCAGGCUCCAUGCAGGGAGCCCAAUGUGGGACUCGAUCUCGGGACUCUAGGAUCACACCCUGGGCCGAAGGCAGAUGCUCAACACUAAGCCACCCAGG
rnacentral:lncRNA from 12 species